rnacentral:rRNA from 1 species
UACAGAGGAGCCAAGCGUUGUCCGGAUUGACUGGGCGUAAAGCGCACGUAGGCGGAUCGAUCAGUCAGGGGUGAAAUCCCAGAGCUCAACUCUGGAACUGCCUUUGAUACUGUCGAUCUGGAGUAUGGAAGAGGUGAGUGGAAUUCCGAGUGUAGAGGUGAAAUUCGUAGAUAUUCGGAGGAACACCAGUGGCGAAGGCGGCUCACUGGUCCAUUACUGACGCUGAGGUGCGAAAGCGUGGGGAGCAAACAGG